AUGGAGGAGCGUGGCAAUUUCAAGCUGACCCCUGGCUGCAGUGGCCUGGGUCUGUGUGGCGUUCGCGGCUUUGGCGACUGCGGUGGAGCUCCCUCGUGGGUCCCCGAGGACGCCUGGAUGGGCACCCACCUUAAAUAUUUAGAAAUGAUGAAAUUAGACACAGAAGAUGCCACCCAUGUUUAUAUAGCAUUCUUGGUUUAUCUGGACCUCAUAGAAAGCAAAACUGGCAUGAACUAAACUGUGUCAGAUUACCAGAACUCCAGCUCAUCUGCCUUGUUGGUACUGAGAUAGAAGAGGAGGGGUUACAGACUGUGGUGCCUACCCCCAUCACUGCUUCCCUCAGCCAUAACAGGAUAAGGGAGAUCUUGAAGGCAUCUUGAAAAUUGCCAGGUGAUCCAGAUUUGCUGAUGUCUUUUACUCUGGCCAUAAUGGAGUCUGAUUCUACAAUAGUCUAUUAUAAACUUACUGAUGGAUUUAUGCUGCCAGACCCUCAGAAUAUUUCUCUUAGAAGAUGA
rnacentral:lncRNA from 1 species